UAGGGAAUCUUCGGCAAUGGGGGCAACCCUGACCGAGCAACGCCGCGUGAGUGAAGAAGGUUUUCGGAUCUUAAAGCCCUGUUGUAAGAGAAGAAUGUGUGUGAGAGUGGAAAGUUCACACAGUGACGGUAACUUACCAGAAAGGGACGGCUAACUACGUGCCAGCAGCCGCGGUAAUACGUAGGUCCCGAGCGUUGUCCGGAUUUAUUGGGCGUAAAGCGAGCGCAGGCGGUUUAAUAAGUCUGAAGUUAAAGGCAGUGGCUUAACCAUUGUUCGCUUUGGAAACUGUUAAACUUGAGUGCAGAAGGGGAGAGUGGAAUUCCAUGUGUAGCGGUGAAAUGCGUAGAUAUAUGGAGAACACCGGUGGCGAAAGCGGCUCUCUGGUCUGUAACUGACGCUGAGGCUCGAAAGCGUGGGGAGCAAACAGG
rnacentral:rRNA from 1 species